CCUACGAUGGAUAGGGGUUCUGAGAGGAAGGUCCCCCACAUUGGAACUGAGACACGGUCCAAACUCUACGGGAGGCAGCAGUGAGGAAUAUUGGUCAAUGGACGAGAGUCUGAACCAGCCAAGUAGCGUGAAGGAUGACUGCCUAUGGGCUGUAAACUUCUUUUGUACGGGAAUAAGUGAGCCACGUGUGGCUUUUUGUAUGUACCGUAUGAAUAAGGAUCGGCUAACUCCGUGCCAGCAGCCGCGGUAAUACGGAGGAUCCGAGCGUUAUCCGGAUUUAUUGGGUUUAAAGGGAGCGUAGGCGGGUUGUUAAGUCAGUUGUGAAAGUUUGCGGCUCAACCGUAAAAUUGCAGUUGAUACUGGCGACCUUGAGUGCAACAGAGGUAGGCGGAAU
rnacentral:rRNA from 1 species